CAGGCUUAACACAUGCAAGUCGAGGGGCAGCGGGGAGGAAGCUUGCUUUCUCCGCCGGCGACCGGCGCACGGGUGAGUAACACGUAUGCAACCUGCCCCUGUCAGGGGGACAACCCGCCGAAAGGCGGGCUAAACCCGCGUACAUGCCACCGGGGCAUCCCGGAGGCAGGAAAGGCUUCGGCCGGACAGGGAUGGGCAUGCGGCGCAUUAGGCAGUAGGCGGGGUAACGGCCCACCUAACCGACGAUGCGUAGGGGUUCUGAGAGGAAGAUCCCCCACACUGGUACUGAGACACGGACCAGACUCCUACGGGAGGCAGCAGUGAGGAAUAUUGGUCAAUGGUCGGGAGACUGAACCAGCCAAGCCGCGUGAGGGAGGAAGGUACAGAGUAUCGUAAACCUCUUUUGUCAGGGAACAAAGGCGGGGACGUGUCCCCGGAUGAGUGUACCUGAAGAAAAAGCAUCGGCUAACUCCGUGCCGGCAGCCGCGGUAAUACGGAGGAUGCGAGCGUUAUCCGGAUUUAUUGGGUUUAAAGGGUGCGCAGGCGGUCUGUUAAGUCAGCGGUCAAAGCCCGGGGCUCAACCCCGGCCCGCCGUUGAAACUGGCAGUCUCGAGUUGGAGAGAAGUAUGCGGAAUGCGCGGUGUAGCGGUGAAAUGCAUAGAUAUCGCGCAGAACUCCGAUUGCGAAGGCAGCAUGCCGGCUCCACACUGACGCUGAGGCACGAAAGCGUGGGUAUCGAACAGGAUUAGAUACCCUGGUAGUCCACGCAGUAAACGAUGAAUGCUGGCUGUCCGGGGGGACUGACCCCUGGGUGGCGAAGCGAAAGCGAUAAGCAUUCCACCUGGGGAGUACGCCGGCAACGGUGAAACUCAAAGGAAUUGACGGGGGCCCGCACAAGCGGAGGAACAUGUGGUUUAAUUCGAUGAUACGCGAGGAACCUUACCCGGGCUCAAACGGGGAGUGGCGCAGGCAGAGACGCCUGUUUCCCACGGGACACUCCCCGAGGUGCUGCAUGGUUGUCGUCAGCUCGUGCCGUGAGGUGUCGGCUUAAGUGCCAUAACGAGCGCAACCCCCGCGUGCAGUUGCUAACAGUCAACGCUGAGGACUCUGCACGGACUGCCGGCGCAAGCCGCGAGGAAGGCGGGGAUGACGUCAAAUCAGCACGGCCCUUACGUCCGGGGCGACACACGUGUUACAAUGGGUGGUACAGCGGGAAGCCAGGCGGCGACGCCGAGCGGAACCCGAAAUCCACUCUCAGUUCGGAUCGGAGUCUGCAACCCGACUCCGUGAAGCUGGAUUCGCUAGUAAUCGCGCAUCAGCCAUGGCGCGGUGAAUACGUUCCCGGGCC
rnacentral:rRNA from 1 species